UAUGUACUUAGGGCACGAUUUAGGAUUACGGAGAGAUUGCGUUACGUGCGGUAACAAACGACGAUAGAAAAAUAUUUUGUUUGGUUCCAUGUAUGAUGUUACGUUACACAUAUUGCGGUUAGUCGGUUACAAUAUAUUUUCUGCGUUACCAUAAAAAACGCAGAAAUAUAUCCCUAUAUAUUUUUUCUCAUCUCUAUUCUAUCUAAUAGCGUUAGAUAAAUAUCAAUACCCAACUAAGCCUUAAACCCGUAAUCAUUUAUAUUAAAGCGGGUUGACAAAAAAUUUAAUGAUUGGCAUUUAAGAUUCUAAAUAAAAUUUUAUUACUUCACAUUUUUAGUUGAAUUUAUUUCUAAAGAAAAAUUGAGCAAAUAAGAUAGCUUAAAAUGCGUAUAUAUAGAUCAUAUUUGAAUUCAAUUUUGAAUAU
rnacentral:lncRNA from 1 species